rnacentral:rRNA from 1 species
UCCACGCCGUAAACGAUGAUUACUCGAUGUAUGCGAUACACAGUAUGCGUCUGAACGAAAGUAUUAAGUAAUCCACCUGGGGAGUACGUCGGCAACGAUGAAACUCAAAGGAAUUGACGGGGGCCCGCACAAGCGGAGGAACAUGUGGUUUAAUUCGAUGAUACGCGAGGAACCUUACCUGGGCUUAAAUGCAGAAUGCAUUUACUCGAAAGAGUAAUUCCCUUCGGGGCUAU